ACGUAGUGAACCUUUUAUGUGUAUGAACAUAAGAAAUCAUGGUAAAGGAACAUAUGACGGAAUGAUCUGGGCAAGAAACACUGAAUAACUUUUCAUGUGAAGAACUUAAUGUCUCACAACUUAAACCAGCAGAAUUUGGAAAGACAAUGUAUAAAGAAGUUCAAAGUUGUAAGAGGCUCUAACUAGAAAUAAGAAGUGAAUUUGAAAGUAAUGGUCAAAAGGCAUGCAUAGAUGUUAUUUUUUAUCAACAAUGCCAUGGAGCCACAAAAAAAAAAAUAAAAAAUAAAAAAUUAAAUUAAAUGCCCAAAAAGUGACCAGAAAGUGAAGUGUGUGGGCUAAAUUCAUUCCGGUUGAGGCCCACCUCAUACUAAAUUUGAAUUACACCAUACAAUUCAUUCUCUAAUCAUUUUCCAGGCUACUUUUUUCUGUCUCCAUCAGUGUUGUUAAUACCAUUCCGUACCAGAGGGUACCGCCUGAAAUGUGCAGUUCAGGAAGAAAAACGGGACACAGCUACUCUAACUCCGUAUUGGCUAUGUUCUCGGCCUGUACCAGACAGUUUCGGUCAUUCCGGGUAAUAUCGGCCAGAAACCUUUAUCUUGCGGGAUACACCAGUAGACAAUCUGGAAAAAAAUUUAGAGAUUUUGAUACAAAAAUAACGUUGUUGAGGGCUUGACUGGUAGCCAUGAGUGACAACAAUGGCAGGUUAACAAUGGAGGAGGGUGCAAUAUGACAUGAGACUUCUUUUUCUUCCGUAGCAGAUCUUGAGCUUCUUAUUGGCUUUUACGACUUUGAUGGCCAGAACAAAUUUGACACCUUAUUAUUUGGCAAGAGCAUUGGCUGCUCCGGAUACAGACCAUCCAAAUGGAACACCAGGCCAUAAGAAUUAUGGGUUGAGUGUUCUUCAACAACAUGUGGCCUUUUUUGACAUGGACGACAAUGGAAUCAUUUACCCUUGGGAGACAUAUACUGCCUGAAGAGUGGUGGUUUUUCUGGGACAUAUUAUUGCUGGGACUAAUAAGAAGACUUGCGAGUAGUUGCAUUUUACAUUGAGGUCAUCAAUUUAUGGGUUUUCGAUAUAAUCGAAGUAGGCAGGUCAAUUAAUUGGUUUGAGGCAAAGUUGGUGUUGGGUAUGAGGGAUAGAAAUUCAAAGGAGCAUGAUCAUCUAAAAAAGGAUCUUCACACAA